GAUGAACGCUGGCGGCGUGCCUAAUACAUGCAAGUCGAGCGAACAGACGAGGAGCUUGCUCCUCUGACGUUAGCGGCGGACGGGUGAGUAACACGUGGAUAACCUACCUAUAAGACUGGGAUAACUUCGGGAAACCGGAGCUAAUACCGGAUAAUAUAUUGAACCGCAUGGUUCAAUAGUGAAAGACGGUUUUGCUGUCACUUAUAGAUGGAUCCGCGCCGCAUUAGCUAGUUGGUAAGAUAACGGCUUACCAAGGCAACGAUGCGUAGCCGACCUGAGAGGGUGAUCGGCCACACUGGAACUGAGACACGGUCCAGACUCCUACGGGAGGCAGCAGUAGGGAAUCUUCCGCAAAGGGCGAAAGCCUGACGGAGCAACGCCGCGUGAGUGAUGAAGGUCUUCGGAUCGUAAAACUCUGUUAUUAGGGAAGAACAAAUGUGUAAGUAACUAUGCACGUCUUGACGGUACCUAAUCAGAAAGCCACGGCUAACUACGUG
rnacentral:rRNA from 1 species